ACGUGAGCAAUCUGCCCUUGACUCUGGGAUAAGCGUUGGAAACGACGUCUAAUACCGGAUACGACCCUKGGAGGCAUCUCCCGGGGUGGAAAGAAUUUUGGUCAGGGAUGAGCUCGCGGCCUAUCAGCUAGUUGGUGAGGUAAUGGCUCACCAAGGCGACGACGGGUAGCCGGCCUGAGAGGGUGACCGGCCACACUGGGACUGAGACACGGCCCAGACUCCUACGGGAGGCAGCAGUGGGGAAUAUUGCACAAUGGGCGAAAGCCUGAUGCAGCAACGCCGCGUGAGGGACGACGGCCUUCGGGUUGUAAACCUCUUUUAGUAGGGAAGAAGCGAAAGUGACGGUACCUGCAGAAAAAGCACCGGCUAACUACGUGCCAGCAGCCGCGGUAAUACGUAGGGUGCAAGCGUUGUCCGGAAUUAUUGGGCGUAAAGAGCUCGUAGGCGGUUUGUCGCGUCUGCUGUGAAAACCCGAGGCUCAACCUCGGGCCUGCAGUGGGUACGGGCAGACUAGAGUGCGGUAGGGGAGAUUGGAAUUCCUGGUGUAGCGGUGGAAUGCGCAGAUAUCAGGAGGAACACCAAUGGCGAAGGCAGAUCUCUGGGCCGUAACUGACGCUGAGGAGCGAAAGCAUGGGGAGCGAACAGGAUUAGAUACCCUGGUAGUCCAUGCCGUAAACGUUGGGAACUAGAUGUGGGGACCAUUCCACGGUCUCCGUGUCGCAGCUAACGCAUUAAGUUCCCCGCCUGGGGAGUACGGCCGCAAGGCUAAAACUCAAAGGAAUUGACGGGGGCCCGCACAAGCGGCGGAGCAUGCGGAUUAAUUCGAUGCAACGCGAAGAACCUUACCAAGGCUUGACAUAUAGAGGAAACGGCUGGAAACAGUCGCCCCGCAAGGUCUCUAUACAGGUGGUGCAUGGUUGUCGUCAGCUCGUGUCGUGAGAUGUUGGGUUAAGUCCCGCAACGAGCGCAACCCUCGUCCUAUGUUGCCAGCACGUAAUGGUGGGAACUCAUGGGAUACUGCCGGGGUCAACUCGGAGGAAGGUGGGGAUGACGUCAAAUCAUCAUGCCCCUUAUGUCUUGGGCUUCACGCAUGCUACAAUGGCCGGUACAAAGGGCUGCAAUACCGCAAGGUGGAGCGAAUCCCAAAAAGCCGGUCUCAGUUCGGAUUGAGGUCUGCAACUCGACCUCAUGAAGUCGGAGUCGCUAGUAAUCGCAGAUCAGCAACGCUGCGGUGAAUACGUUCCCGGGCCUUGUACACACCGCCCGUCAAGUCAUGAAAGUCGGUAACACCCGAAGC
rnacentral:rRNA from 1 species